rnacentral:rRNA from 1 species
GACGAACCGUGCGAACGUUGUUCGGAUUCACUGGGCUUAAAGGGCGCGUAGGCGGCUUGCCAAGUCAGGGGUGAAAUCUUUCGGCUCAACCGGAAAAGUGCCUUUGAUACUGGCGAGCUAGAGGGAGGUAGGGGUGCGUGGAACUUCUGGUGGAGCGGUGAAAUGCGUAGAUAUCAGAAGGAACGCCGGUGGCGAAAGCGACGCACUGGAUCUCUACUGACGCUGAGGCGCGAAAGCCAGGGGAGCGAAUGGG